AUCAUAUCAGGAGGGCAUCUUCUGAUCAGCUGCUUGUACCUCUCCCAAGCUUCAUAGAGGGACUCUCCCUCUUUUUGUCUGAAAGUCUGGACCUCCACCCUAAGCUU